GGGAUUGUAGCUCAGGGGUAGAACAUCUGCUCUGCAUGCAGAAGACCAUAGGUUCAAUCCCCAGUAACUCCA